rnacentral:lncRNA from 1 species
AGAGCAACCCCUUGAACUAGAGCAUCGUUCCUUGCAGCAGCAGCAACACGAGCCUCUUCUUCCCUUCUAGCCAGAGCUUGUAUAGCCUCAAAGAUCUGCUCGAUCUUGCUUUUGACAGAGUCCAUCUCCUCUCUGAAGGCAACUUGUUCUUCUCUAACUACAUCCAUGAUUCUUCUUGUGUUGGAGCGAGUAGCGUAUGCACGUUGAGGAAUCAGCUUGAACUACUGGACACGAGGAAA